AGUCGAGCGGUAGAGAGGUGCUUGCACCUCUUGAGAGCGGCGGACGGGCGAGUAAAGCCUAGGAAUCUGCCUGGUAGUGGGGGAUAACGCUCGGAAACGGACGCUAAUACCGCAUACGUCCUACGGGAGAAAGCAGGGGACCUUCGGGCCUUGCGCUAUCAGAUGAGCCUAGGUCGGAUUAGCUAGUUGGUGAGGUAAUGGCUCACCAAGGCGACGAUCCGUAACUGGUCUGAGAGGAUGAUCAGUCACACUGGAACUGAGACACGGUCCAGACUCCUACGGGAGGCAGCAGUGGGGAAUAUUGGACAAUGGGCGAAAGCCUGAUCCAGCCAUGCCGCGUGUGUGAAGAAGGUCUUCGGAUUGUAAAGCACUUUAAGUUGGGAGGAAGGGCAUUAACCUAAUACGUUAGUGUUUUGACGUUACCGACAGAAUAAGCACCGGCUAACUCUGUGCCAGCAGCCGCGGUAAUACAGAGGGUGCAAGCGUUAAUCGGAAUUACUGGGCGUAAAGCGCGCGUAGGUGGUUCGUUAAGUUGGAUGUGAAAUCCCCGGGCUCAACCUGGGAACUGCAUUCAAAACUGUCGAGCUAGAGUAUGGUAGAGGGUGGUGGAAUUUCCUGUGUAGCGGUGAAAUGCGUAGAUAUAGGAAGGAACACCAGUGGCGAAGGCGACCACCUGGACUGAUACUGACACUGA
rnacentral:rRNA from 1 species